UGCCCAGCAACUCCUAUCCCUACCUCCUCGCGGUACUAGCCGAGGUACGAGUAACCUUAGGGAAGAUCGGGUAAUCCCCGAUGGGAGCUUUAGUCGUAUGCUGACAGGGAAAG
rnacentral:ribozyme from 1 species